rnacentral:miRNA from 2 species
UCCUUAACUCAUGCCGCUGUG